ACCCCCCAGGUUCUACCGACAUGCUCAGGGACUGCACAGGUCUGGGCCAGAAACCACCGAGUCCUUUCCAGAGGUUGGCAGACCAUGAUUUCCGGAUCUGUGCUGGGAAUGGGAUGGACAUGUGCACAGAGAGCUGGUAAUUCUUCCUUCGGCAUCAGAUGAAGCCCAUGACCUCAUAAAGCCUUCUGAGACACGGAGGAGCCCCUGCUUGGGAAACGUCUUCAGUUACAGACCAUGACCUCAGACAAAUGUGCCUCAAGUCGCACAGCAAAUCAGUGUCCCACUUCCUGAAGAAACAUAAGACACAGACCCAACCCACGGAAACCGUUGGGGAGAGAAAAGAGUCAAAGCAGAAACAGUCAAAGGACAGAGCAAGCCAGUGUGGCAAAAGUCUCCAGCCUGAGUAAAUGUAACUGGACAAAUUGAUUGUACAACCUGGGUCAAGCCUGGAGUGUUCUAUCAGAGAACCCAUCUCGUUGCGUCUGAUAUGACAAACCCACCGGUGAAAGUGCCUCGUGUCACUGACACUUUAGGGCAUUGUCUGACAAGCUUCUUCAAGGUCAUCUGACUCUCUGGAUAGGGAAUUAUAGCUUUGUUCCUUUCGCUAUUUUCUAUUGAUUAGGACCCAGAAACCUUACAACUCUGUAAACUUAGAUGUUUAUAAAAAAUACCUGCUGAGAUGUGGAAGAUUUUUAUCUGGUAAAAGAUAAUUCUACAAGUUAUGACUGUUUUAUUUUUUAUUUUUUUGCCCUGUAGGAUAUUAAGCCAUUAAAAAAGUAUAAUUUAGAAAUCACAAUCCAGUAUUUUAUCUAUCUCUGUCUAUUAUCUAUCCCUCUAUAUAUCUAUCACCUGUCUAUUCCACUCACAUGAAUUUCUUGUAUCUCCCCUUACACUGGCUUUAUCAUUCUACUGAUUCUCUCAUUAAUGACUGAAGUGAAAUUUUGACA